CUUCUCAGAACUGUAUCUGGCAACGUGCUCCAAAUUCCUUGCUCAUAAAUAAUAGCAGGGGCUAGAUGUGACACCUUUCUUUGUUCUCAUCCUGUCUGUGCCAUGAUGUCGCCAUCGCUGUGGGGCCACUGGUGCAGGAUGGGGUGGUGGGAAGCAGGGCUGGCGUGCCUGCGCCUUCUUGAAGGAGGCCUUUGCAUGUUUCCGCUUGUUAAAAUGGCCAUGUGAGAUAAAGUCUGUGGUUUCCUCUGAGCAUAUGAGCAAGGGGGGCGAAGCAGCAGCGGCUGCAGAGCUGCAGCCAGUCUCCACCCGUGAGCCUCCCCCAAGAUGGAUGCUGCUGGUGAGACCCCCGUGGGGACCCUCCCUGGGGAAGAGAGCCCUGAGAUGGAUCUGUCCCACCAGUUCUCCAAGAGAGAGCUGGCCCUGCUCUAUGAGGAGGUCCUCUACACCAUCCGGCACCGCUUGGGCAAGCCUGAGCACCACCAUGUCGUGGAUUCCCAGGAGCUCUAUGCCUACGUGCAAAAGGGCAGCAUCCACUACCUGAUAUCUACACAGGCUUUCGGCAUGGAUGCAGAGGGGCACAGUGUCAUCAUGCAGCAGGUCAAGGAACUAGAGAGCCCUAUUUUCUGCCUGAAAGCAACUGUGAAGGAAGCCAAGGGGAUUUUGGGUAAAGACGUCAGUGGGUUCAGUGACCCAUACUGCCUGCUGGGCAUCAAGACCAAGAGCCAGGAACUGGCCAACCCUGACCACAAGAAGCGGAUGAAGGCUGUGGUCAAAGACCUCAUCCCUGAAGACCAGAUCCACCGCACACAAGUUAUAAGUCAGACCCUCAGCCCGGUGUGGGAUGAGACAUUUAUCCUGGAGUUUGAAGACAUGGAGACAGCCAGCUUCCACCUGGACAUGUGGGACUCGGACAUCGUGGAGUCAGUGCGGCACAAACUGGGGGAGCUGACAGACCUCCAUGGCCUCAAACGGAUCUUUAAAGACGCUCGCAAAGACAAAGGGCAGGACGAUUUCCUGGGGAAUGUGGUCCUUCACCUGAAGGACCUGCACUGCUGGAAUGACCAGUGGUACCAGCUGGAGCCACGGACAGAGACGUACCCGAACCGGGGACAGUGUCACCUGCAGUUCCUGCUGACACACAAGAAGAGGGCCACCACGAGCAGCCGGACACAGCCAAGCUACACUGUCCAUCGCCACCUCCUGCAGCAGCUGGUGUCCUAUGAGAUCCUUCAGCACCAGGCCGGCAGCAUUGCCUGGGACGGGGAGCUGAGCAGGCACGCCAGCACUGUGCUGUACCUGCAUGCCACGCAGAAGGAUCUCUCUGACUUCCACCAGGUCAUAGCGCGGUGGCUGGCAUACAGCAAGCUCUACCAGAGCCUUGAGUUCAACAGCAACUGCCUGCUACAUCAGAUCACCAGCAUCGAGUACCAGUGGGUGCAGGAGCGCCUGAGGCCAGAGCAGAAAGCAGAGCUGGCUGAGUCCUUCCAGUCCUUGCUGACUUACGGGGUCUCCCUCAUUCGGAGGUACCGCAUCAUUUUCCCACUGUCUGUCCCAAGGUCCACGGAGAGGCUCCAGUCCCUGCUCCGAGUCCUGGUCCAGAUGUGCAAAAUGAAAGCUUUCCAUGAGCUGUGCACACUCAGCCCCAACCUCCCCAACAUGGUCUCCACAGCACUGAAGUCAGGCACAACAGAGUGGUUUCAUAUGAAGAAGCAGCACCUCAAGCCCAUGGUGAAGAGCAUGGAGGAGAAUGGCAAAGCCUUGUCCAGACUCCUCCUGGAGGUGUUAGGAGAUCUCCAAGAGUGCCAGAAAAUCUGGAAUAGAUUUUUCAUCAGCACCUUGAAGUUGAAUCUAUUCUCCAUCGCCUACCUGGAGCUGGAGAGGCUGGUCGCGGAGCAUGUCCAGGAGCAGCUACGCAAGGUCAACAGCAGCAUGUCCAAACCCACAGCCGAGAGCCUUUUCCAGCUCUACAUGAACCUCCAGGAGCUCUAUCGGAUGAAGGACUUCGUCCCAAAGAGGGAUGGACCUCUGGCUCUGAACAAUUUCCACCAGUGGUUCAAGGAAGAUGUGCCCCAGUGGCUGCAGAAGGCCUACACCAUUGCGCUGGAGAGGGCACAGAGAGCUGUCCAAAUGGACCAGCUGACACCCUUCGGGGAGCACAACAAGCACAGCACUUCCACUGUUGACCUGUCCACCUGCUAUGCCCAGAUUGUGAAGACCUGGCAGCAGCUCAACUGGCCGGACCCUGAGGAAGCCUUCAUGAUCAUGGUGAAGCUUGUGGAGGACAUGUGUAGAAUUGCCCUGAUGUACUGCCGGCUCAUCAAGGGGAGGGCUGAGGCUCUGUCGCUGAGCAAGCAGAACGAGGGCGAAGAGGCCAACAGGCUCUGCAUCGUGGUGAACAACAUCAAGCAGCUGCGGCUGCUGAUCCUGAAGCUGCCAUCACAGCUGGACUGGGUGCAGCUGGAGCAGCGCACAGGACCCGUCAUUGACCAGCAGCAGAUCCAGCACACGCUGCACAACCAGCUCGACAGCACCAUUUCCUGCCUGGACCAUGAGGUCCAGGAGGUGGUGCAAGCCCUGGCCACCAAGCUGGAAAAGGGCGUUGCCAGACACAUCCAGGAGCUCUCAUCUUCUAAUGACACCCAGGAGCCUGAGGAUUCCAUCAUUCCCCUCAUGAAGUUCCUGGAGUCGGAGCUGCAGUAUCUCAAUGAGCAUCUGGUCCAGGAGAACUUCAAAAGCCUCCUCACUCUCCUCUGGCAUCACACCUUGGCUGUGCUGUCAGCAGCCAUGGGGCAGCAGGUCCCCUCGGUCCAGUGCUACAAGAAACUGCACUGUGCCCUGAAGAGCCUGGAGCUGUGCUUCCAUGCUGAGGGCUGUGGGCUGCCGCUGGAGAUGCUCCACACAGCAGUCUUCCAGUCUCUGGAGACUCGCCUGGACCUCUGCUCUGCUACCAGCCGCAAACUCAUCCAGAAAUACUUCUGCAACAGGAUCCAGCAGCAGCUGGACGCCAGCUCGGAGAAAUACGGGGCCGUGACCAUCAAAGCACUGUACUACCCUUCAGAGCAGAAACUCCAUGUGGAAGUGCUCAAUGCUGUCAACCUCAUACCUUUGGACUCCAACGGCUCCAGUGACCCCUUCGUCCAGCUCACGCUGGAGCCCCGGAAUGAGUUCCCCGAGGUGGUGGCCCGGACCACUCAGUGCAAGAGGAAUGAGCUGCACCCCCUCUUCGAUGAAGCCUUUGACUUGUAUCUUGGUCCCCGCCGAGAAGUGCCAGCAGGAGGGUGCCUGCCUGCUCCUGACCGUUUUUGACUAUGACACACUGGGGGCCAACGACCUGGAGGGCGAAGCCUUCUUCCCCCUCUGCCACCUGCCUGGCCUCAACAGCGAUGAGGACUCGGUUGAUGCAGGACGGGUGCCCCAGACCCGCCUCCCUCUCACCCACCCCAAACCCACUGGAGAUGAGAUUCUCCAGCUGCUGGAGUCCAGGAAGGGGGACAAAGAGGCUCAGGCCUUUGUUAAGCUCCGCAAGCAACGAGCCAAGCAGUCCAAGGAGAGAGAGUGAGGCAGAGCGGCCUGAAAUGGGGGGUGUCCAGCCAAUGGGACCUCUCUGGAAUUUUCCUGGUGCUGGAGAUAGAGCCAUCUGCAGGGACCAGGAGAGAGAGGGGGUCCCUGUGCCCUGCAAACCUUCCCGGCAUCCACCUUACCCCCGCCCUUGGGUAGCAGUGCUCCUGUGAGGGGAGGGUGGACACCCAGUAUUUCAGGGCAUUUCUUUGCCUGUCUGGACUAGCAACACUACUCUGGGGAUGUGAAAGUGCCUGGCUGUCCCUGCCCUUCCCCCAUUAGCUUGUCACUGCUGGUGCCACAUCUCUUGGCUGUGUCCCCAACACUCCUGUCUGCAGCAUGGUGUCAGGGCAAAGUAAGGGCAUUGUCAUUUAUUUGGGAUGGGAACAACCAGUGGUCACACCUGCCUUUUUUUUUUUUUUUUUGCUUCCCCCUUCCCCCACCCAAUCUAUUCUUUCCCCUCUUUUUUCCUGUGGAUAAGCCUCUAAUUUUAAAUUAAAAGCUACAAA